UACGGAGGGGGCUAGCGUUGUUCGGAAUUACUGGGCGUAAAGCGUGCGUAGGCGGUUGGCAAAGUCAGCUGUGAAAGCCCCGGGCUUAACCUGGGAAUGGCGGUUGAAACUAGUCGACUCGAAUCUGGCAGAGGGGGGUGGAAUUCCACGUGUAGCAGUGAAAUGCGUAGAGAUGUGGAGGAACACCGAUGGCGAAGGCAGCCUCCUGGGCCAGCACUGACGCUCAUGCACGAAAGCGUGGGGAGCAAACAGG
rnacentral:rRNA from 1 species